rnacentral:rRNA from 1 species
CCUACGGGUGGCAGCAGUGGGGAAUAUUGGGCAAUGGGCGCAAGCCUGACCCAGCAACGCCGCGUGAAGGAAGAAGGCCCUCGGGUUGUAAACUUCUUUUGUCAGGGACGAAGAAAGUGACGGUACCUGACGAAUAAGCCACGGCUAACUACGUGCCAGCAGCCGCGGUAAUACGUAGGGAGCGAGCGUUAUCCGGAAUUAUGGGGCGUAAAGGGUGCGUAGAUGGCAUAGUAAGUCUUUUGUAAAAAUGCUGGGCUCAACCCAGUAGGGCAAAAGAUACUGCAAAGCUAGAGUAUGACAGAGGCAAGUGGAACUACAUGUGUAGCGGUAAAAUGCGUAAAUAUAUGUAAGAACACCAGUGGCGAAGGCGGCUUGCUGGGUCGAUACGGACAUUGAGGCACGAAAGCGUGGGGAGCAAACAGGAUUAGAUACCCGGGUAGUC